rnacentral:snoRNA from 1 species
UGGCGAUGAUGAGAAAGUAAAAGGCUUGUUUCUCAUGAACAUUCGCAGUGGCCGCCUAAGUGCUUUCGCCUUUCGCCGGGCUCGAGAGCUUAUGCUGUUUCUAUUCUUCCUUGGAUGUCUGAGUCA